rnacentral:rRNA from 2 species
UUAACAAAAACAUGUCCUUUUGAUUAGUAUUUAAGGUCUGAUCUGCCCUAUGAUUUAUAGUUUUAAAUGGCCGCGAUAUUUUGAUCGUGCGAAGGUAGCAUAAUCAUUAGCUUUUUAAUUGAAAGCUGGCAUGAAUGAUUGGACAAGAAACUUUCUGUCUCAAAUUUAUUUUUUGAAUUUUAUUUUUUAGUUAAAAAGCUUAAAUUAUUUUGUAAGACGAGAAGACCCUAUAGAGUUUUAUAUUUGUUAUUUACAUUUAGAUUUUAGAAUUUAGAAUCUUUUUGUUUUAUAAAGUAUUUGGUUGGGGUGACAGAAAAAUUUAUUAAACUUUUUAUUUUUUAAAAUAUAAAUUUAUAGGUUGUUGAUUUACAUGAGUAGUUAGAAGACUAAAUUACCUUAGGGAUAACAGCGUAAUUUUUCUAAAGAGUUCAUAUCGAAAGAAAAGAUUGCGACCUCGAUGUUGGAUUAAAGUUAAAAUUUGGUGCAGAAGCUAAAUAGUUUAGUCUGUUCGACUAUUAAAACUUUACAUGAUCUGAGUUUAAACCGGCGUGAGCCAGGUUGGUUUCUAUCUUCAAUUAGUUAAAAUAUUUUAGUACGAAAGGACCAAAUAUUUUUUAAAUUAAUUUAUUUGAUUGAAUGAAAUU